UACGUAGGUGGCAAGCGUUGUCCGGAUUUAUUGGGUUUAAAGGGUGCGUAGGCGGCUCUGUAAGUCAGUGCUGAAAUAUCCCAGCUUAACUGGGAGGGUGGCAUUGAUACUGCGGGGCUAGAGUACAGAUGAGGUAGGCGGAAUUGACGGUGUAGCGGUGAAAUGCUUAGAUAUCGUCAAGAACACCUAUAGCGAAGGCAGCUUACUAGGCUGUAACUGACGCUGAGGCACGAAAGUGUGGGGAGCAAACAGG
rnacentral:rRNA from 1 species